rnacentral:rRNA from 1 species
CCAAUAGCGUAUAUUAAAGUUGUUGCAGUUAAAAAGCUCGUAGUUGAAUUUCGGGAUCAUCAGGUUGGUCGUGCCUCUGGUAUGUACUGAUUUCGAUGGUUCCUCCUUCUUGUAGAACCGUAAUGCCAUUAAUUUGGUGUUGCGGGAAAACAGGACUGUUACUUUGAAAAAAUUAGAGUGUUUAAAGCAGGCAAUCGCUUGGAUACAUUAGCAUGGAAUAAUGAAAUAGGACGUUUGAUCCUAUUUUGUUGGUUUCUAGGAUUGACGUAAUGAUUAAUAAGGAUAGUUGGGGGCAUUAGUAUUCAAUUGUCAGAGGUGAAAUUCUUGGAUUUAUUGAAGACUAACUACUGCGAAAGCAUUUGCCAAGGAUGUUUUCAUUAAUCAAGAACGAAAGUUAGGGGAUCGAAGACGAUCAGAUACCGUCGUAGUCUUAACCAUAAACUAUGCCGACUAGGGAUCGGAUGAUGUUAAUUUUUUAAUGACUCAUUCGGCGCCUUACG